GUUGAAGACGACGACGUUGAUAGGCCGGGUGUGUAAGCGCAGCGAUGCGUUGAGCUAACCAGUACUAAUGAACCGUGAGGCUUAACCUUACAACGCCGAAGCUGUU
rnacentral:rRNA from 1 species